rnacentral:lncRNA from 1 species
ACACAAAAAGUAAUGAGACAAAGUUUUCUUCUGUAAAAAAAAAUCUACCAAUAGAUUCUCUAGUUUUGUAUGAAAAAAUACUUUCGUAUGUCUAUUGACCAAGCUUCAUAUUUCAUAUGUAAAUCGAUGUUAACUUAAUAGCAAAUCGUUACUGAUGACAAAAAAAAAAAAAAAAAAGAGAAUAGCAAAUCGUUACCAUUAGUUGCCGUGUGUCCACUCUCUUUUAUAUAUUCUUGUUUCGAUUGAAUUUUGGCAUUUUGGCAACCUAAAGUAGGCUACCACUUUAACCCCACAAAAAAAAA